rnacentral:rRNA from 1 species
GACAGAGGGGGCAAGCGUUGCUCGGAAUCACUGGGCGUAAAGGGCGCGUAGGCGGGAUGGCAAGUCGGUCGUGAAAUCCUUCGGCUCAACCGAAGAACGUCGGCCGAUACUGCCGUUCUUGAGGGAUGCAGAGGAGAUUGGAAUUCCCGGUGUAGCGGUGAAAUGCGUAGAUAUCGAGAGGAACACCUGCGGCGAAGGCGGGUUGCUGGGCUGAUACUGACGCUGAGGCGCGAAAGCCAGGGGAGCGAACGGG